UGAAGGGUCUAGGCCCGAAACGUCAGCAUUUGUGCUCCUGAGAUGCUGCUUGGCCUGCUGUGUUCAUCCAGUUUCACACUUUAUUAUCUUUACCACCUUUCACAGUUUCAGGAAUCCAGACAUUAAGACAACUCUGACACCUGCAAUCUAACUAGUCACCCUUUUCAAUCAAAUCAAACCUUCAGGCUGACAGUUUACAAGAGGGAAAGCAUUGCGUAUUCAGCCUUGGGGGUUAAACACUUGUAAACUUCUGUUAGAAUCAGUUUCGAAGUUAUUGUCAGCCAUUAUCUAGUUCAAAGACUGAACAGUUUGCAGCUUUGCCAUGUCAGGCAUAUGCUAAGUGUCUCUUGGAAGGUACAAGGUCAUCAACUCACAGCUCCUGGAGGCUUCUAAUUCCAUCAGCACUCCUUCAAUGCUGAGCCCAUUGUGUCUGCAUAGCCCUGACUGAUGAUAGCUGUAGUCCCAAAGAACCUUUGGUCGAUGAACUGGCAACCUGUAAGUGAUAUAAGGUCACAGGCAUUGACACAUACAACUAGGAGACAGAUGGCCAUGACUCCUGCAAACUGAUUGUUUGGAAGAAGUGAGCAGAAAGAGAAAGGUCAACUGGCCAAGUACAUUUUUUCUUACUCAUCAAUGUGGAUGGCACUAGCUGGGCCAGCAUUUAUUGCCCAUCCAUAGUCGCCCUUUUGAAGGCAGUAGUGAGUGGCCUUUUUGAACCGCUGCUGUCUUUGUGCUGUAGGUAGACCCACAAUGUUUUUUGGGAGGGGAUUCCAGGAAUUUGAAACAGCAGCAGUGAAGGAACAGUGACAUAUUUCCAAGUCAGGAUAGUGAGUGGCCUCCAGGUGCUGGUCUUCCCAUGUUUCUGUUUCCCUGUCCUUCCCAAUGGAAGUGGUCACUGGUUUGGAAGAUGCUGUCAAAGGAUCUUUGCUGAAUUUUUAUAGUGCAUCUUGUAGAUGAUGCACACUGCUGAUAGUGAGCAUUGGUGGGGAGUGACUGAAUGUUUGUGAAUGUGGUGCCAAUCAAGCGGCUGCUUUCUCCAAGUUGGUGUCAAGUUUCUUGAGUGUUGGAGCUGUACUCGUUUUGGCAAGCAUGGAGUACUCCAUCCCACUCCUAUCUUGUGCCUUGUAGAUGGUAGCCGUGUCCUUCAGUCCAUGUCCAAAUGCAACAAGGGGAGGCAAUGAUCGAGUGGUAUUAUGGACUAAUAAUCCAGAGACCCAGAUAACAUUCUGGAGACACGAGUUUGAAUCCCACCACAGCAGUUGGUAGAAUUUGAAUUCAAUAAAAAUAUCUGUAAUUAAGAAUCAAAUGAUGACCACAAACCAAUUGUCAGGAAAGAAACAUAAGAUUCACUUACGUCCUUUAGGGAACAAAAUUGUCACCCUUACCUUCUCUGGCCUACAGUCCCACAGCAAUAUGGUUGAUUCUGAACAGUCCUCUGGGCAAUAAUUGCGACCUGGUCAGUGAUGCCCUCAUUCCGUAAAAGAAUAAAGAAAAAAAAGUAUCUGAAGAGUUGAAAAUGGUGCUGAACAUUGUGUAAUUAUCAGCAAAUAUCCGCACUUCAGACCUUAUCAUGGAGACAAGGUCGUUGAAGAAGCAGCUGAAGAUGGUUGGGCCAAGAACACUGACCUGAGGAAUCCCCACAGAGAUAUCCUGGAAUUGUGAAGACUGACCUCCAAUAGCCACAACCAUCUACCUUUAUGCCAGGUUCUUCAUGAAAAAGAUGACAGCUACAAACACUACAAGAAUCUCCCAGUCUGAACUGGACAUGGAGCACAGGAAUCUUUCAGCCUGAAAAGGAUACAGAGGACAGGAGUAUCCUGGUCUGAAAUGGAUGCAUGCACUGGAAACAGAACCAGAGAGUGUCCCUUGGAUAAGGAGUCUGCUUCAUAAGUCCCUACAGGAAGUGAACCAGCUCUGGAAGAGGAGAGAGUGGGUGGGCUCUCUGAUUGACGUCUCUCACUGUCAAUCCAAAUAUUUCUCAAGCAGCAUGAGAUUCCUGAAGCUUG